rnacentral:rRNA from 1 species
UACGUAGGGUGCGAGCGUUGUCCGGAUUUAUUGGGCGUAAAGAGCUCGUAGGCGGCUCGUCGCGUCGACCGUGAAAACUGUGGCUUAACUACAGGCUUGCGGUUGAUACGGGCGGGCUAGAGUUCGGUAGGGGAGACUGGAAUUCCUGGUGUAGCGGUGAAAUGCGCAGAUAUCAGGAGGAACACCGGUGGCGAAGGCGGGUCUCUGGGCCGAUACUGACGCUGAGGAGCGAAAGCGUGGGGAGCGAACAGG